rnacentral:lncRNA from 1 species
AAUUUCCUACUAUGACAUGUGUGUUGGACAGUGUAGGGCAUAGCAAUGAUUAGUGAUUUUCAGCAGCCUUUCUUGAAUAGGCAUUGAAAAUAGCUAAACAAAAAAAGAGAAAUGAGCUGAAUUCUUGGAGUUAAUAUUUUGGAGUGAAUUAUAAAACAGAGUUCUUGCAAUAAUGCAUGUAAAUUAAAAAUAGGUUAGCAAAGCAUGAGUAAAAAUAGUCAAUUUUCAAAUACUUUUCACAGCUCUCCGAGUCUGACAUAUUUCUCUGGCUAAAAGGGAAGAAACAUAUCGGCACUCAUGUUGGGAAGACCUUAGAACAGCAAAGUACUAAAACUUGCCAAACCAACUUCAAGUGGCUUUCUUGUUAGUGCAAUACACACUGCACUGAGUUCCUGAGCAUAAUAUUUCCACCCUUUCCCACGGAGUCUGCUUAAAUUUGAAGAUUUUUUUUCUAGUAGGUGUAUUGUCCUUAAUUUUGGAGGAAGUUUUAAAAAGGUGGAUUAAUGUUAUAUAUGCUUCCGAGAAUAUUAUGCAACCAUGAAGCUUUGCACUUCAACAUAAAUGAAUCCCAAAAAGAGCCAGAUGAACUGUUGGCUGGGAGGCAGAGCCUUAGGAUGUUUCAAAUUCAUCGUGACUUCACAUAAAGGUCCUCUCUGGAGUAUGAAAGUCAAUUUUACAGGUGUAAAAUAAAGGAAAAGACGACAGUCUGAAAGUCAAACGAAAUUCCAGGACCACCUGUAUUUCAGUGAGCAGGAACUGUACUAGGAGAAGGAGCCAGAAAGGUGGUGACAUACUUUUCCUUUCGUGGGGAAACAGUCUAAUGGAGAGAAGGACAAGUAAGAAACCACAAAGUGUAUUUUGGUAAGUGUUUUGAGAGGAGCUCUAGAGGCUCAAAGGAGGAGUUGCUGGUUGGGUCCCCUGAGAAAGCAGGCCUUGAAAUAAGGAUUUGAAUAGAAUUAGUUUAUUUGGGAAAUGAUUACAGGGAACACUAGUAGGGAGCGAGGAAGCAAGACAGGAAAGAGACAGAGUCAAUUAAAGGUGCGUUGUCCAGCAAGUUCCCACCUGGCUGGCUGAAGCCUAAUCCAGCUGGGGAAGUUUGGGAAAUGGUGUAAGACACAGUCUCAGAUUUAUCACACCUAAGGGAGAGGGAUUUGGAGUAUUUAUAACUGCCAGCAGUCCUUGGUUGCAGUCUAUUCAGAAAGGUAUUAAUUCUCUUACGCUUAUGAUUUGCAAAGGAAAAGAAACUCCUCAGACCAAAACAAUAACAGCAACAACAAAAAACUGUUUUCGUUUGGGAGGAGGACCAAAAGGAAGGAAUAAGGGUCAGGCACUGACUCUACAGGUUGCCUCUCAUAUCUCUUCAUCAUAUAUACCUCUUCAAAUUCAAUCGAGAUUUCAAUUCGUCUCACUUCUCCCCAACCUUACUCUGAUCUCCUGGUAAUUUUAGAGUAAUUGAGAAUAUUUUCUAACAUACGUGUCAACAUAAUGAAGGAGCUGGGACCUAAGUGAAGAAGCGACAAAAUUUACAGUGGCUUUGAAUGCUGGUUCCUGAAUGGAUUUGCUUGACUGCAAUUCAAUCUUUUUUGUGGCUCAAGGCUCACUCACCUCUAAAAGGCACUUUGUUUGUCAGAAUCGAUUUAAAUCAAUUUCUGUGGAAAUUAAAAUUAAAUAUGGUAUCCCUAAGAUUCUUGCAUUUAUUUCAAUUUUUAAAUUAUUGAUUUAUACAUGAUUUUUAUGCCCCAUCAUUAUAUGAACAUUUAUAUAAUUAGUG